rnacentral:tRNA from 1 species
AGGAAUAUGGCUUAGUGGUAGAGUGCUUGCCUAACAUGCAUGGAGCCCUGGGUUCGAUUCCCACUGUGGCUC